UUUUCUACCAUUUGGCGUUCCAGAAUCCCACCGAAAAUCAAAAUCUUCCUCUGGCAGGCCUUCAGAGGUCGUCUCCCCAGGGCUGACCAAAUGUGUAAGAGAAACGGGCCGGGCUCGGAGUUUUGUGCUCUCUGUGGUGCCUUGGAGGACACGAAUCAUAUAUUUUUCCAUUGUGUGCUUGCUAAGCUGGUUUGGAGCUAUGUCAGAUCAUGGCUCCAGGUUACUUGGAACCCCUCCUCCUUUCUUGAGAUGAGAAAUCUUGCCAAUUCGUUGGCUGGGGUGACUAAGAGGGUCUUCUGGGUUGGCCUCGGUGCGAUAUGUUGGUCGUUGUGGACUAUUAGGAAUAAAUUUACGAUCGAACAUGUCUUUCCUACUAAAUCUGCUGACUGUCUAUUUAAAUCUUGUAUCUUAUUGCAGCAGUGGAGAUCAUUGACUAAGGAGGACGACCAGGUCCCUUCUCCUUAUAACUACCCCUAUCCCAUAUUCACUAUGGAGGAAAAACAUAUUGUACUCAGGGACAACAUUAGGAUAGGGGUAGUUACAAGGAGAAGAGACCUGCAUAAAUGUACAAAGGUCUUAAUCUGGAGUUUUGUGAAGAAAAUGCAAGAAAUCACAUCUUCAAAAUCAUGA
rnacentral:rRNA from 1 species